GUCCCUGUAGCGCAAUGGAUAGCGCGUUGGACUUCUAAUCCAAAGGUCGUGGGUUCGAAUCCCACCUGGAGAUG
rnacentral:tRNA from 1 species